CCUUGAACACCUCCUCCUUUUGGAACUUUGCAUUCGAAGGCGCUGUGAGAGGCGAUUUCUGCCAUAAGCCACAUUAUCUCUGAUGAUCCAUUCCCGUCUCUUCCAUUGUGAGUGGAAGUGCAGAAAAAAACAAGGUCAUAACUCAGAGAAAGAGGCUGGAGCCAUCUCAUAAAACCCAACUAUUCUGAACAGGAAAUCCACAAAUGCCGAGAGCCCGUUCCAUGUGCAAACUGUCCAAGGAAGGCUAAGUAAAAGCAUGACCUUCACUCCCACAAUCUUCUCUGAAGCGUGUGUUUUGUUAACUAUACCAGUUGCAUGCAGGAUUCCCUCCUCUUAUUUUUGUUAGACAACAAUUAUAUGCUGGGUCAUGUGUGGUGCAUUUAUCCCUUGAUUUAUUUUUCCUAUUAGAUAUUUUGCUACCCAUGGGGCAUGAGCAUGACACUGUUUGCCGAAUUAAAAAUCGAGAUGUCACACAAAAUCCAGAUAUCCAAAAUCACUUAAAAUUUUUUUGAAGAUCCCGUCACCCACAUCCCCAUGUGUCAACAGCUGCCUCCCACAGAUGGAACAUUCGCUUCCAGUCAGUUCCUCUGCACAUCCCCCCUUGUUCUCACACCAGACCACCCUCAUUUGACAUUGACUCAACUCUAAUCUUUUACUUCCUGUCCUGGCUUUCUGCCUAAAAUAACUCCUCACAACCCAAUACUUAUGGUAAAACAGUCUUAUUGAAGUGCACGCAGGUCAUAAACUGUCAAAAUCUAAAGCCCCUUUGAUGGUAAUAUUUCAUUUUCACCUAGUUACCAAGAUUACACUAUCACAUAUUUUUUCCCUCAAUAUUAAUAAGCAACGCAGGAAUUAUACAAGUGGUUGAUGUGCAAUUGCCCUAACUUCUCUUUCUAGAUAGUCUUGCUUCUGUUUCCUAUUAGUGAAAGAAAAUCCCUCCUAAUCACAUCCUGCUUCAAACUACAUAACAUCACAAGACAGCCUCUGAAAUUAUAAUUGUUUCAGUAUCCUUAUUUUUCAGCAACUUCAAUAACUCUCCAAAAUAUAAUCAAAUAAGGGACUUAACUUUUUUUUUUCCCUUUUUAGGGCCACACCCAUGGCAUAUGGAAGUUCCCAGGCUAGGGGUCCAAUCAGAGCUAUGGCUGCUGGGCCACACCACAGCCACAGCAACAUGGGAUCUGAGCCACAUCUGUGACCUACACCCUGGCUCAUGGCAAUACUGGAUCCCCGACUCACUGAAAUGAAGCCAGGGAUUGCACCCACAUCCUCAUGGAUACGAGUUGGGUGUAUUAGCUGCAUCACACGGGGGAACUCCCAAGGGAAUUAAGUCUUUUAUCUUUUUGUUAUUAUUGAACUGUGAAGCAGAGGUCUUUCUGGGUUUUUGGUUCUGGUGCAUUUCAGAAAGUAAGUUAUUCAGUUAGUCAGGUAGUUUUAAGUUUUAUAUUACCAGUACAACUCUAAUUUUCUUAUACAAUUACCUACUUACAAUAGGUUUCAUGAAAAAAGACAUGUAACAAGCAUCUAAUUUUAUACUGCUGGCCUAUUUGCAUUGUUUUAGUCAGUCUGGCAGACUUUAUAGAACAAAGUGAAACCUCACCCUAAAAUUUUUGACACUUAAAUAGUCAAAAUAUACUAGAUUUUUUUCUCUGCCAAAAAUCUCUGUGCUAAUGUUCUAAUGCAGUUGAGCUGUGGGAAAGAAUACACGCAGCUUUUGCUCAAAACGAUUCAAGAAAUCAUUUAAAAUUAAUUUCUCACCAAAGACUAGAGAAGAAUCUCUCAAGAAUUCUUCAGAAGCACAUGGAAAAUUUUCAUGACCCUCUGCAGGGUAUAAAACAAUAUUUAAAAAGUCAUUGAGGGAGUUCCCAUUGUGGCUCAGUGGUUAGCGAAUCCGACUAGGAACCAUGAGGUUUCGGGUUUAAUCCCUGGCCUUGCUCAUUGGGUCAAGGAUCCAGCAUUGCCACCUUAUCAAUACCCUAGAAGGCCCCUCCUGCCCUUUAUGGGCAAUGCCACCCUUAAGGAUAACCACUAUUAUGACUUCAUAGAGUGUACUUUUGAUGCAAAGAAUUUUAUUUGCAUAGGUUCUAAAUAUGAAUGUUUUUCAAUGUUUCUAAAUGCUAUAGUAACAAACAGUAAUAAUCAAUGAACAUUUAAAAUCAUUUAAAAUUGUAUUUUAAUUGUAUUUCACAGAAUACCUUGCUUCUUUUUCUACAUUGCAUUUAUUUAUUUAUUUUUGCCACACCUGCAGCAUGCAGAAGUUUCCAGGCCAGGGAUCAAACCCAUGCCACAGCAGUGACAAUGCCAGAUCUUUGACCCACUGAGCUGCAUGAAAACUUCUGCAUCCUUUUUUUUUUUUUUUUUNNNNNUUUUUUUUUUUUUUUUUUUUUUUUUGCUUUUUAGGGCUGCACCGGUGACAUAUGGAUGUUCUCAGGCUAGGGGUCCAAUCAGAGCUAUAGCUGCCGGCCUAUGUCACAGCCACAGCAACAUCAGAUCCGAGUCACAUCUGCAAUCUAUACCACAGCUCAUCGCAACACCAGAUCCUUAACCCACUGGGUGAGGCCAGGGAUCGAACCUGAAACCUCAUGGUUCCCAGUUGGAUUUGUUUCCGCUGUGCCACAAGGGGAUCUCUACUCCUGCACCCUUUUUAUUUAUUUAAAAAUGUUUUAAAAUUUUUUAGUUUUUGCUUUCUAGGGCUACACCCAUGGCACAUGCGUGGAGGUUCCCAUGCUAAGGGUUGAAUCAGAGCUGUAGCUGCCCCUGCCACAGCCACAGCAAUGCCAGAUCCAAGCUGCGUCUGCAACCUACACCACAGCUCACGGCAAUGCCGGAUCCUUAACCCACUGAAUGAGGCCACGGAUUGAACCUGCGUGCACAUGGAUACUAGUCAGAUUCGUUUCUGAUAAGCCACGACAGGAACUCCUCCCACAUCCUUUUUUAAAAAGUUAUUGUUUUAUUCGUCUUCAUUUUCCAACAUGAAUCUUUGGUCUAUACUUGAGAUCUCUGCUUUCCAUUUUGGCUA
rnacentral:lncRNA from 1 species